rnacentral:rRNA from 1 species
AACGAACGCUGGCGGCAUGCCUAACACAUGCAGGUCGAACGAGACCUUCGGGUCUAGUGGCGCACGGGUGCGUAACGCGUGGGAACCUGCCCUUAGGUUCGGAAUAACUCCCCGAAAGGGGUGCUAAUACCGGAUAAUGUCUUCGGACCAAAGAUUUAUCGCCUUUGGAUGGGCCCGCGUUGGAUUAGCUAGUUGGUAGGGUAAAAGCCUACCAAGGCGACGAUCCAUAGCUGGUCUGAGAGGAUGAUCAGCCACACUGGGACUGAGACACGGCCCAGACUCCUAGGGAGGGAGGCAGGGGGGAAUAUUGGACAUUGGGGGAAGCCCUGAUCCGGCAUGGCGGGGGAAGUGAGAAGGGCUUAGGGGUGGUAAGCCUCUUUUACCCGGAAGAAUAAGAACGGUACCGGGAGAUAAGCUCCGGCUAACUCCGUG